rnacentral:rRNA from 1 species
CCUUCCCCUUCGGGAACAGGGGUGACAGGUGGUGCAUGGUUGUCGUCAGCUCGUGUCGUGAGAUGUUGGGUUAAGUCCCGCAACGAGCGCAACCCUUGUCCUUAGUUGCCAGCAUUCGGUUGGGCACUCUAGGGAGACUGCCGGUGACAAACCGGAGAAAGGUGGGGAUGACGUCAAAUCAUCAUGCCCCUUAUGAGUUGGGCUACACACGUGCUACAAUGGACGGUACAAAGGGCAGCGAAGCCGCGAGUUGUAGCCAAUCCCAGAAAGCCGGUUCUCAGUUCGGAUUGCAGGCUGCACCUCGACUGCAUGAAGUCGGAAUCGCUAGUAAUCGCAGGUCAGCAUACUGCGGGGAAUACGUUCCCGGGUCUUGUACACACGGCCCGUCACACCACGAGAGUUUGCAACACCCGAAGUCGGUGAGGUAACCGUAGAAGCCAGCCGCCGAAGUGGGACAGAAUGAU